rnacentral:rRNA from 1 species
UACGUAGGGGGCAAGCGUUGUUCGGAAUUACUGGGCGUAAAGGGCGCGUAGGCGGCACGGCAAGUCAGGAGUGAAAGCCCGGGGCUCAACCCCGGAAUGUCUUUUGAAACUGCCGAGCUAGAGUGCGGAAGAGGCAACUGGAAUUCCCAGUGUAGCGGUGAAAUUCGUAGAUAUUGGGAAGAACACCGGUGGCGAAGGCGGCUCUCUGGACCGAUACUGACGCUGAGGCGCGAAAGCGUGGGGAGCAAACAGG